GUGCUUGCUUUGACAGCAUAUAUACUAAAAUUGAAACAAUAAAGAGAAAAGUAGCAUGGCCUCUGCUCAAGGAUGACAUGCAAAUUUGUGAAGCAUUCCAUAUUUUG